rnacentral:misc_RNA from 1 species
AAUUCUCAACCUUAUCAGUUUAUUUCUGAUAGUGGCUUGGAUGUGGGGGUUUUCUUGCUGGCUGAGGUCAGCUCCCCUUAAAUGCAUUAGCUGGUGCCCCGUGUGGACUGUCUAUUGGUGUGAUAAUUAUCUACGCCAUGGAUGGUCUGCAAGCGCACUGCUUCUAACCGUCUGUUAAUUCGGACAAUACAAUGACA